rnacentral:rRNA from 1 species
AGCGAACGCUGGCGGCAGGCUUAACACAUGCAAGUCGAGCGGGCAUCCUUGUGGUGUCAGCGGCAGACGGGUGAGUAACGCGUGGGAACGUGCCCUUCGGUUCGGAAUAACUCAGGGAAACUUGAGCUAAUACCGGAUACGUGCGAGAGCAGAAAGGUUUAUCUGCCGAAGGAUCGGCCCGCGUCUGAUUAGCUAGUUGGUGAGGUUAUGGCUCACCAAGGCGACGAUCAGUAGCUGGUCUGAGAGAAUGAUCAGCCGCACUGGGACUGAGACACGGCCCAGACUCCUACGGGAGGCAGCAGUGGGGAAUAUUGGACAAUGGGGGCAACCCUGAUCCAGCCAUGCCGCGUGAGUGAUGACGGCCUUAGGGUUGUAAAGCUCUUUUCUCCGGGACGAUAAUGACGGUACCGGAGGAAUAAGCCCCGGCUAACUUCGUG